UGAGGAAUAUUGGUCAAUGGACGCAAGUCUGAACCAGCCAUGCCGCGUGCAGGAUGACGGUGCUAUGCAUUGUAAACUGCUUUUGUACGAGGGUAAACGGGGAUACGUGUAUCCUUUUGAAAGUAUCGUACGAAUAAGGAUCGGCUAACUCCGUGCCAGCAGCCGCGGUAAUACGGAGGAUCCGAGCGUUAUCCGGAUUUAUUGGGUUUAAAGGGUGCGUAGGCGGUUUUAUAAGUUAGAGGUGAAAGCUCAACGCUCAACGUUGAAAUUGCCUCUAAUACUGUAAGACUAGAGUCUAGUUGCUGAGGGCGGAAUGAGUAGUGUAGCGGUGAAAUGCUUAGAUAUUACUCAGAACACCGAUUGCGAAGGCAGCUCUCAAAGCUAUCACUGACGCUGAGGCACGAAAGCGUGGGGAUCAAACA
rnacentral:rRNA from 1 species